GGCUGCGUAGCUGGUACAGCGCGGUGCUUUCCGCCACUACCUCGCCCUGCUCGUCGGUGAGUUGCAGUUCGAGGCUGUAUGCGGCCU
rnacentral:tRNA from 1 species